AUUGAACGCUGGCGGCAUGCCUAACACAUGCAAGUCGAACGGCAGCAUGGUCUAGCUUGCUAGACUGAUGGCGAGUGGCGAACGGGUGAGUAACGCGUAGGAAUUUGCCCUAAAGUGGAGGACAACUCGGGGAAACUCGAGCUAAUACUGCAUAAGCUCUACGGAGUAAAGCUGGGGACCUUCGGGCCUGGCGCUUUAGGAUGAACCUGCGUCCGAUUAGCUUGUUGGUAGGGUAAAAGCCUACCAAGGCGACGAUCGGUAGCUGUUCUGAGAGGAAGAUCAGCCACACUGGGACUGAGAUACGGCCCAGACUCCUACGGGAGGCAGCAGUGGGGAAUAUUGGACAAUGGGGGAAACCCUGAUCCAGCAAUGCCGCGUGUGUGAAGAAGGCCUGCGGGUUGUAAAGCACUUUCAGUAGGGAGGAGAAGCUGAGGUUAAAUAAACCUACAGCUGAGACGUUACCUACAGAAGAAGCACCGGCUAACUCUGUGCCAGCAGCCGCGGUAAUACAGAGGGUGCGAGCGUUAAUCGGAAUUACUGGGCGUAAAGGGUGCGUAGGUCGUUAAUCUUGUGGGCUGUGAAAUACCUGGGCUUAACCUGGACCGGUCAGCCAAUACUGGUAGUCUAGAGUGCAGUAGAGGGCAGCGGAAUUUCCGGUGUAGCGGUGAAAUGCGUAGAUAUCGGAAGGAACAUCAGUGGCGAAGGCGACUGUCUGGACUAAUACUGACACUGAGGCGCGAAAGCGUGGGUAGCGAACAGGAUUAGAUACCCUGGUAGUCCACGCCGUAAACGAUGACAACUAGCCGUUGGGGGCAUUUUGGCUUUUAGUGGCGCAGCUAACGCGAUAAGUUGUCCGCCUGGGGAGUACGGCCGCAAGGUUAAAACUCAAAGGAAUUGACGGGGGCCCGCACAAGCGGUGGAGCAUGUGGUUUAAUUCGAUGCAACGCGAAAAACCUUACCUACCCUUGACAUACCUAGAAGGUUGUAGAGAUACGACUGUGCCUACGGGAACUAGGAUACAGGUGCUGCAUGGCUGUCGUCAGCUCGUGUCGUGAGAUGUUGGGUUAAGUCCCGUAACGAGCGCAACCCUUAUCUCUAGUUACCAGCGUGUAAAGACGGGGACUCUAGAGAGACUGCCGCUGAUAAAGCGGAGGAAGGCGGGGACGACGUCAAGUCAUCAUGGCCCUUACGGGUAGGGCUACACACGUGCUACAAUGGUUGGUACAGAGGGAAGCAAACCCGCGAGGGGGAGCGAAUCUCAAAAAGCCAAUCGUAGUCCGGAUUGGAGUCUGCAACUCGACUCCAUGAAGUUGGAAUCGCUAGUAAUCGCGAAUCAGCGUGUCGCGGUGAAUACGUUCCCGGGUCUUGUACACACCGCCCGUCACACCACGGGAGUGGGUUGCACCAGAAGUAGGUAGCUUAACC
rnacentral:rRNA from 1 species